rnacentral:rRNA from 1 species
CUCAGAAUUCGGCUUAGAGUUUGAUCCUGGCUCAGGACGAACGCUGGCGGCGUGCCUAACACAUGCAAGUCGAACGGAGAAUUUGAUAAGCUUGCUUAGAAUAAUUCUUAGUGGCGGACGGGUGAGUAACGCGUGGGUAACCUACCCAUAAACCCGGGACAACCCUUGGAAACGAGGGCUAAUACCGGAUAAUCUUCGAGCUUGGCAUCAAGACUUAAGGAAAGAUGGCCUCUGAAAAUGCUAUCGAUUAUGGAUGGACCCGCGUCUGAUUAGCUAGUUGGUGGGGUAAAGGCCUACCAAGGCGACGAUCAGUAGCCGGCCUGAGAGGGUGAACGGCCACACUGGGACUGAGACACGGCCCAGACUCCUACGGGAGGCAGCAGUGGGGAAUCUUCCGCAAUGGACGAAAGUCUGACGGAGCAACGCCGCGUGUAUGAUGAAGGUCUUCGGAUUGUAAAGUACUGUCUUUGGGGAAGAACGGUCGAUUUGAAAAUAUUGAGUUGACAUGACGGUACCCAAGGAGGAAGCCCCGGCUAACUACGUGUCAGCCGCCCGGUAUUCUA